rnacentral:rRNA from 3 species
GACGAACGCUGGCGGCGUGCCUAAUACAUGCAAGUCGAACGAACUCUGGUAUUGAUUGGUGCUUGCAUCAUGAUUUACAUUUGAGUGAGUGGCGAACUGGUGAGUAACACGUGGGAAACCUGCCCAGAAGCGGGGGAUAACACCUGGAAACAGAUGCUAAUACCGCAUAACAACUUGGACCGCAUGGUCCGAGUUUGAAAGAUGGCUUCGGCUAUCACUUUUGGAUGGUCCCGCGGCGUAUUAGCUAGAUGGUGGGGUAACGGCUCACCAUGGCAAUGAUACGUAGCCGACCUGAGAGGGUAAUCGGCCACAUUGGGACUGAGACACGGCCCAAACUCCUACGGGAGGCAGCAGUAGGGAAUCUUCCACAAUGGACGAAAGUCUGAUGGAGCAACGCCGCGUGAGUGAAGAAGGGUUUCGGCUCGUAAAACUCUGUUGUUAAAGAAGAACAUAUCUGAGAGUAACUGUUCAGGUAUUGACGGUAUUUAACCAGAAAGCCACGGCUAACUACGUGCCAGCAGCCGCGGUAAUACGUAGGUGGCAAGCGUUGUCCGGAUUUAUUGGGCGUAAAGCGAGCGCAGGCGGUUUUUUAAGUCUGAUGUGAAAGCCUUCGGCUCAACCGAAGAAGUGCAUCGGAAACUGGGAAACUUGAGUGCAGAAGAGGACAGUGGAACUCCAUGUGUAGCGGUGAAAUGCGUAGAUAUAUGGAAGAACACCAGUGGCGAAGGCGGCUGUCUGGUCUGUAACUGACGCUGAGGCUCGAAAGUAUGGGUAGCAAACAGGAUUAGAUACCCUGGUAGUCCAUACCGUAAACGAUGAAUGCUAAGUGUUGGAGGGUUUCCGCCCUUCAGUGCUGCAGCUAACGCAUUAAGCAUUCCGCCUGGGGAGUACGGCCGCAAGGCUGAAACUCAAAGGAAUUGACGGGGGCCCGCACAAGCGGUGGAGCAUGUGGUUUAAUUCGAAGCUACGCGAAGAACCUUACCAGGUCUUGACAUACUAUGCAAAUCUAAGAGAUUAGACGUUCCCUUCGGGGACAUGGAUACAGGUGGUGCAUGGUUGUCGUCAGCUCGUGUCGUGAGAUGUUGGGUUAAGUCCCGCAACGAGCGCAACCCUUAUUAUCAGUUGCCAGCAUUAAGUUGGGCACUCUGGUGAGACUGCCGGUGACAAACCGGAGGAAGGUGGGGAUGACGUCAAAUCAUCAUGCCCCUUAUGACCUGGGCUACACACGUGCUACAAUGGAUGGUACAACGAGUUGCGAACUCGCGAGAGUAAGCUAAUCUCUUAAAGCCAUUCUCAGUUCGGAUUGUAGGCUGCAACUCGCCUACAUGAAGUCGGAAUCGCUAGUAAUCGCGGAUCAGCAUGCCGCGGUGAAUACGUUCCCGGGCCUUGUACACACCGCCCGUCACACCAUGAGAGUUUGUAACACCCAAAGUCGGUGGGGUAACCUUUUAGGAACCAGCCGCCUAAGGUGGGACAGAUGAUUAGGGUGA